rnacentral:rRNA from 1 species
UACGGGGGGAGCAAGCGUUGUUCGGAUUUACUGGGCGUAAAGGGCGCGUAGGCGGCGCAACAAGUCACUUGUGAAAUCUCCGGGCUUAACUCGGAGCGGCCAAGUGAUACUGUCGUGCUAGAGUGCGGAAGGGGCAACUGGAAUUCUCGGUGUAGCGGUGAAAUGCGUAGAUAUCGAGAGGAACACCAGUGGCGAAGGCGACUACCUGGCCUGUUCUUGACGCUGAGGCGCGAAAGCUAGGGGAGCAAACGGG